rnacentral:rRNA from 1 species
UGAGGAAUUUUGCGCAAUGGGCGAAAGCCUGACGCAGCAACGCCGCGUGGGGGAUGAAGGCUCUCGGGUUGUAAACCCCUUUUCUUGGGGAAGAUGAUGACGGUACCCAAGGAAUAAGUCACGGCAAACUACGUGCCAGCAGCCGCGGUAAUACGUAGGUGGCAAGCGUUGUCCGGAUUUACUGGGCGUAAAGCGCGCGUAGGCGGCUUUUUAAGUCUAUGGUGAAAUCUCCUGGCUUAACCAGGAUAGGUCUGUAGAUACUGGAAGGCUUGAGUGUCGCAGAGGAAAGUGGAAUUCCCGGUGGAGUGGUGAAAUGCGUAGAUAUCGGGAGGAACACCAGAGGCGUAAGCGGCUUUCUAGGCGAUUACUGACGCUGAGGCGCGAAAGCGUGGGGAGCAAACCG